UUUUUUUUUUGCUUUUCCUUUUUAAUAAGAAAAUGGGAAAACUCACUCUUUUUAAGCAAUCCUCUCUUAACUGAAUCUCUCAGUUUAAGAGUUAAGGGAGUGUUCGUUUGAUGUGAGGAUUUAUUCAGGUGAACAAUUUUUUUUUUCUAAACCCAUUUUUCUUAAUGGUAAUGAAAAUGAGAGUCAAGGAAAUGCACCCGCUGUGCUGUAUCUCGCUGGAGAGCCCUGGAAUAGGGGACCAGUCGCCGGAGGCAUCGUUGACCAGGACGAGAUCCUUG
rnacentral:misc_RNA from 1 species